GACGAACGCUGGCGGCGUGCCUAAUACAUGCAAGUAGAACGCUGAAGGAGGAGCUUGCUUCUCUGGAUGAGUUGCGAACGGGUGAGUAACGCGUAGGUAACCUGCCUGGUAGCGGGGGAUAACUAUUGGAAACGAUAGCUAAUACCGCAUAAUAGUAGAUGUUGCAUGACAUUUGCUUAAAAGGUGCAAUUGCAUCACUACCAGAUGGACCUGCGUUGUAUUAGCUAGUUGGUGAGGUAACGGCUCACCAAGGCAACGAUACAUAGCCGACCUGAGAGGGUGAUCGGCCACACUGGGACUGAGACACGGCCCAGACUCCUACGGGAGGCAGCAGUAGGGAAUCUUCGGCAAUGGACGGAAGUCUGACCGAGCAACGCCGCGGGAGUGAAGAAGGUUGUCGGAUCGUAAAGCUCUGUUGUAAGAGAAGAACGAGUGUGAGAGUGGAAAGUUCACACUGUGACGGUAUCUUACCAGAAAGGGACGGCUAACUACGUG
rnacentral:rRNA from 1 species